GGGAAUGCAACGGUUUCGACGGAUUGAAAGAUGUUUGGAACUGCAUAUAGUGUUGCUGCAACCACUUUAAAACUGCAGAAAAACAAUAAACAACAACAACGUAGAAUAUAACUACGCUAUGGCUGCUUAAUUAAAUAAGCAACCUUGCUUUCGGGAUUCUCUCUUAUCGGGGUUUCGAAAGCAUCAUUCAGAUAAGAUAGCCCUAAUGAGCUUCUGAGUAGUGAAGGCGAAACAAACAUCAGAAUAGCGGAAUGAAGGUAAGCCGGGCUUCCUGAGUUCCUCGAAAAUCUAAAGACCCGGAUAUAUAUGUAGACGUUCUAAUGGUCUUCUUUUCGGACCCGAGUUCGACUCUCGGCAUUUCCACUG
rnacentral:tmRNA from 1 species